AAAAAUAAAACCAAAAAGCUGGUAGCCAUACAAACAAAAGUUGAUAAAGGAAAACAACAAAAAUCAAAAACAGUUGGAUAGUACAAUAUUAACCCUUUCCUAGGCUGUACAGCCCGCUUUCAGAUUUAGCUUCAUAGAUCUGUCUGUAUCAAAGGAAACAGCAAAGAUGAUCCUUUAGAAAGCCAAAUCCAAAGAAUAAAUAGAAAAGAGUAGUAUGGGAAGGCAAACAAUUCCUGAACCUUUUGCCUCCAUUAAGAACAAGAAUGUGAAAGCUAGGAAAGACUUCAGUGUGAUGAAGCACAGUAAAACAUGUAGGGUGACAAGAUAAAAUGUUUUUUGUUCAUGGGCUGGUAUCUUAAUACACCUAAUAUUUUUACAGGAAAACAUAGAAAAUAACAGAUUAUAUUUAUUGAUUUAAGAUAUAAAAUAUUUGAAAAAAUAUAGGUUUAUCUUAUCAUCAUUAUUUCAAAUUUCAAAUAUGCCUGUACAUUCAUGGAUUAUUGCUACCUUGCUUCAUGUUUUUACUAGUUUUUAUGAACUACAGUAUUUACGACGAUAAGGAAGUCUUAAGGAAAGCGGCUUAAUUUUUAGUAAUAGAAUUACAAAGAUAUAACAUUAAUGCUAUGAGAAUCAUUACAUAUUUUUUAAAAGUAAACUAUUUUAAAAACAAUUCUAGCAUUUGUAAAAUAGAAAUCUUAUAGAACGAAACUUAAGUGUCUCUAAACGAUCUUGAAUAGGUCUUGGAGUGUGUAGGUUGCACAACGAUGGACUAUAUAUGAAAAAAUAAAAUAAAAAAAGUAACUCCCUAUUCUCUUUAUGGAUUUUGGUGUAAACAUAUGCAACAUGUUUUCGAAAAGACACAGCUGUAUGUGUGAAGAGAUCAUUUUAAAUCGAGAAAAAGGGUCGAAAGCGAAAGGAUUUUCGCGGUACUUUCGGUUAAUUUUCAGAUAAAUGUCUUACUAAAACUGCGCGUUGAAAUGUUAGAUUAAUAAGCCAAAGUAACUCUUAAGUAAAUAACUGUGAAGAUACCUGUCGGAAUGCAAAGAUUCUUGAUUUUGCACUUUUCAACGAAGUGCUGCCGAGCUCCAGAGUUCACACAGUUCAUCAAUUCAGUUUCUUUAGCUGGAAUGAACUACCCACAGGAAUCAGAAUGACCCAGUUCCUGACCAGUGUUCAGCACCUGCUCAAGACUCAUCUGUUUAGAUAUCACCUGUGAUCUCUCAUCUCUGAAAUACAUCCUUUAUUAAAGCUGUUGUUUUUUUCACACAAA